GAUGAACGCUGGCGGCGUGCUUAACACAUGCAAGUCGAGCGAGAAGUUUUGAAAAGAUUCUUCGGAUGAAAUUUAAAAUGGAAGCGGCGGACGGGUGAGUAACGCGUAGGCAACCUGCCCCAUACAAAGGGAUAGCAUUUGGAAACGAAUAUUAAUACCUUAUGAAACUUAACUAGUGCAUGCUAGGUAGGUCAAAGAUUUAUCGGUAUGGGAUGGGCCUGCGUCUGAUUAGCUAGUUGGUGAGGUAACGGCUCACCAAGGCGACGAUCAGUAGCCGACCUGAGAGGGUGAACGGCCACAUUGGAACUGAGACACGGUCCAAACUCCUACGGGAGGCAGCAGUGGGGAAUAUUGCACAAUGGGGGAAACCCUGAUGCAGCAACGCCGCGUGAACGAUGAAGGCCUUUGGGUCGUAAAGUUCUGUUCUAGGUGAUGAAAACUGACAGUAACCUAGGAGAAAGCCCCGGCUAACUCCGUG
rnacentral:rRNA from 1 species